rnacentral:rRNA from 1 species
GACAGAGGUGGCAAGCGUUGUUCGGAUUUAUUGGGUGUAAAGGGCAGGUAGGUGGUUAUGUAAGUCUGGCGUGAAAUCCCAGGGCUCAACCCUGGAACUGCGUUGGAAACUACAUGACUUGAGUAUCGGAGAGGUGAGGGGAAUUCUCGGUGUAAGGGUGAAAUCUGUAGAUAUCGAGAGGAACACCAGUGGCGAAGGCGCCUCACUGGCCGAUUACUGACACUGAGCUGCGAAAGCAAGGGGAGCAAACAGGAUUAGAAAACCCGACGUACGUCCGUCGAGACGUCGACGACGGACACACGGA